CGCUGUCGCUUGCCGCAAAACAGAAACUGGGACGUUCUUUUUCUUGUUCUUGAUCCCGGGGACAGAGGUCGAGAUUGCCAGUGCUGGGAGUGUCUAUGGAGGUCUUUCUGACCAGAGGAUGGCGGCGAUGGUGGGCCAACAAGCGCAUGUGACGCCGGAUAGUUGCUCCCUGACACAGGAUCUCAAUCGGGAUCUCUUUCGCUUCCACCAUCACCAUGCGUGUGUCAGUACAGCGCGUUACUCCUAAGCAACCCCGCAGAUUACGUGCCAAAGUACCACGAAGUUUGGAGACCGAGGUCCGGGACAUGCCACGGAGAACAGCUUCCUUCAUCAGGCCGUCAAGGAGGAGGACAGAGUUCAAGUAGAGUCUUUAACUACCGACUCCUUCUACGCUGCAAUGAAUUUUAUCUUAGGGCACUCCCUUCUGACCUGUCCAGACUGAGCUUCAACGGGCUACCUGCACGUUGUAUCCAGAUGCCUGCUAAUUUCAAGCAUCCCACCUUUGCAUGACUUUUUGAGGUAAUGGACACCAGGGGCAAUCUUUCUUCUGAAGCAAUAAAGAGGUCUCCUAAAUUUUGGAGUUUCCCUG